rnacentral:sRNA from 1 species
UGACCGAUCUGUCCCCUAAGUAGGAACCC